UACGUAGGGUGCAAGCGUUAAUCGGAAUUACUGGGCGUAAAGCGUGCGCAGGCGGCUUUGCAAGACAGAUGUGAAAUCCCCGGGCUCAACCUGGGAACUGCAUUUGUGACUGCAUGGCUAGAGUACGGUAGAGGGGGAUGGAAUUCCGCGUGUAGCAGUGAAAUGCGUAGAUAUCAGGAGGAACAUCGAUGGCGAAGGCAGCCCCUUGGACCUGUACUGACGCUCAUGCACGAAAGCGUGGGGAGCAAACAGG
rnacentral:rRNA from 1 species